rnacentral:rRNA from 1 species
AAACUUUCAACAACGGAUCUCUUGGUUCUGGCAACAAUGAAGAACGCAACGAAAUGCGAUAAGUAAUGCGAAUUGCAGAAUUCCAGUGAGUCAUCGAAUCAUUGAACGCACAUUGCGCCCUUUGGUAUUCAGAAGGGCAUGCCUGUUCUAGCGUCAUUA